rnacentral:rRNA from 1 species
CCUACGGGAGGCAGCAGUGGGGAAUAUUGCGCAAUGGGCGAAAGCCUGACGCAGCGACGCCGCGUGAGGGAUGAAGGUCUUCGGAUCGUAAACCUCUGUCAGCAGGGAAGAACGGUCACUGUGCUAAUCAGCAGUGAAUUGACGGUACCUGCAAAGGAAGCACCGGCUAACUCCGUGCCAGCAGCCGCGGUAAUACGGAGGGUGCGAGCGUUAAUCGGAAUUACUGGGCGUAAAGCGCUAGUAGGCGGUAUGUCAAGUCAAGGGUGAAAUGCGCGGGCUCAACGUGGGAACUGACAGUGAAACUGGCGGACGGGAGUGUGGGAGAGGCAAGUGGAAUGCCAGGUGUAGGGGUAGAAGGCGUAGAUAUCAGGAGGAAAAGCAGUGGCGAAGGCGAGUGGCUAGCACAUAACUGACGCUGAGGCACGAAAGCGUGGGGAGAAAACAGGAUUAGAUACCCCAGUAGUG